AGAAAUGAAACUGCGUAUAAACUUGUCAUUCCAUCAUCAUAUUAUGCACCUUUGUGAUUCUAAAAAUAUAUUUAAACGUCAUUUCUCAUAUUCUAACCAUCACCUUAUCCAGAAUGAAAAAUGUAAUGUCAAUAUACUCGACCGACUGUAGUGCAGUUUAUAUUUUUUUAACUGUCAAACGAGUUUUGUGUCAAUUUGAAUGAAACAAAACAAAAAAUACGAGUUUGUCACUGGCUUAGGUUCGUUCGGUUCGGUUCGGUUCAGUUAUAAGUUACAAACGUCAAAUGAGGUCUUUUGGGUAGAAUAAUGUAAAAACUGCGUGUAAUAAAUGUCAAAACGGUAAACAAGUUAAAGAAAGAUCACUUUAAAACGCCAUCACAUGAAGAGGGGUUGAAAUUCCUUAUAUUUCGCUUCAUUUGCAAUUCAUGCAGCAUAUAUUUAGAAGGUAUAUAAAAUUUACAAACGAAAAGGCUUUACAUAACCCUCGACUCGAC